rnacentral:rRNA from 1 species
UACGGAGGGGGCCAGCGUUGUUCGGAAUCAUUGGGCGUAAAGAGCGCGCAGGCGGUUGGGUAAGUCAGACGUGGAAGCCCCAGGCUUAACCUGGGAAUUGCGUUUGAUACUGCCCGGCUCGAGUUCGGGAGAGGGUGGCGGAAUUCCCAGUGUAGAGGUGAAAUUCGUAGAUAUUGGGAGGAACACCUGUGGCGAAGGCGGCUACCUGGACCGAUACUGACGCUGAGGCGCGAAAGCCAGGGGAGCGAACGGG